rnacentral:rRNA from 1 species
UACACAUGCAGUCGAACGGUGACACGGAGCUUGCUCUGUGGGAUCAGUGGCGAACGGGUGAGUAACACGUGAGCAACCUGCCCCUGACUCUGGGAUAAGCGCUGGAAACGGCGUCUAAUACUGGAUAUGUGACGUGACCGCAUGGUCUGCGUCUGGAAAGAAUUUCGGUUGGGGAUGGGCUCGCGGCCUAUCAGCUUGUUGGUGAGGUAAUGGCUCACCAAGGCGUCGACGGGUAGCCGGCCUGAGAGGGUGACCGGCCACACUGGGACUGAGACACGGCCCAGACUCCUACGGGAGGCAGCAGUGGGGAAUAUUGCACAAUGGGCGCAAGCCUGAUGCAGCAACGCCGCGUGAGGGACGACGGCCUUCGGGUUGUAAACCUCUUUUAGCAGGGAAGAAGCGAAAGUGACGGUACCUGCAGAAAAAGCGCCGGCUAACUACGUGCCAGCAGCCGCGGUAAUACGUAGGGCGCAAGCGUUAUCCGGAAUUAUUGGGCGUAAAGAGCUCGUAGGCGGUUUGUCGCGUCUGCUGUGAAAUCCGGAGGCUCAACCUCCGGCCUGCAGUGGGUACGGGCAGACUAGAGUGCGGUAGGGGAGAUUGGAAUUCCUGGUGUAGCGGUGGAAUGCGCAGAUAUCAGGAGGAACACCGAUGGCGAAGGCAGAUCUCUGGGCCGUAACUGACGCUGAGGAGCGAAAGGGUGGGGAGCAAACAGGCUUAGAUACCCUGGUAGUCCACCCCGUAAACGUUGGGAACUAGUUGUGGGGUCCAUUCCACGGAUUCCGUGACGCAGCUAACGCAUUAAGUUCCCCGCCUGGGGAGUACGGCCGCAAGGCUAAAACUCAAAGGAAUUGACGGGGACCCGCACAAGCGGCGGAGCAUGCGGAUUAAUUCGAUGCAACGCGAAGAACCUUACCAAGGCUUGACAUAUACGAGAACGGGCCAGAAAUGGUCAACUCUUUGGACACUCGUAAACAGGUGGUGCAUGGUUGUCGUCAGCUCGUGUCGUGAGAUGUUGGGUUAAGUCCCGCAACGAGCGCAACCCUCGUUCUAUGUUGCCAGCACGUAAUGGUGGGAACUCAUGGGAUACUGCCGGGGUCAACUCGGAGGAAGGUGGGGAUGACGUCAAAUCAUCAUGCCCCUUAUGUCUUGGGCUUCACGCAUGCUACAAUGGCCGGUACAAAGGGCUGCAAUACCGCGAGGUGGAGCGAAUCCCAAAAAGCCGGUCCCAGUUCGGAUUGAGGUCUGCAACUCGACCUCAUGAAGUCGGAGUCGCUAGUAU